UGGGGAAUAUUGGACAAUGGGCGCAAGCCUGAUCCAGCAAUGCCGCGUGUGUGAAGAAGGCCUGCGGGUUGUAAAGCACUUUAAGCAGGGAAGAAUGGACUAAGGUUAAUACCCUUGGUUAGUGACGUUACCUGCAGAAUAAGCACCGGCUAACUCCGUGCCAGCAGCCGCGGUAAUACGGAGGGUGCGAGCGUUAAUCGGAAUUACUGGGCGUAAAGCGCGCGUAGGCGGUUGGCUAAGUUUGCUGUGAAAGCCCCGGGCUUAACCUGGGAACUGCAGUGAAUACUGGUCAGCUAGAGUAUGGUAGAGGGUAGUGGAAUUUCCGGUGUAGCAGUGAAAUGCGUAGAGAUCGGAAGGAACACCAGUGGCGAAGGCGGCUAUCUGGACCAAUACUGACGCUGAGGUGCGAAAGCGUGGGGAGCAAACA
rnacentral:rRNA from 1 species